UACGUAGGGGGCAAGCGUUAUCCGGAAUUACUGGGUGUAAAGGGAGCGUAGACGGUAAUGUAAGUCUGGAGUGAAAGGCGGGGGCCCAACCCCCGGACUGCUCUGGAAACUAUGUUACUAGAGUGCAGGAGGGGUAAGCGGAAUUCCAUGUGUAGCGGUGAAAUGCGUAGAUAUAUGGAGGAACACCGGUGGCGAAAGCGGCUCUCUGGCCUGUAACUGACACUGAGGCUCGAAAGCGUGGGGAGCAAACAGG
rnacentral:rRNA from 1 species